rnacentral:tRNA from 1 species
GGGAAGGUGGCUCAGUGGUAGAGUGCUUGCCUUGCAUGCAUGAGGUCCUGGGUUUUCUUCCUU